rnacentral:hammerhead_ribozyme from 1 species
AUCCAUCUGGCGAGUCCCACGUAAGACGAAACGCGCGUCGCGGAU